rnacentral:rRNA from 1 species
UCAGGACGAACGCUGGCGGCGUGCCUAAUACAUGCAAGUCGAACGCACUGACGUCGACAGAAGGUGCUUGCACUGGAAGUUGAUUGACGUGAGUGGCGGACGGGUGAGUAACACGUGGGUAACCUGCCCUUAAGCGGGGGAUAACAUUUGGAAACAGAUGCUAAUACCGCAUAAAAGUUGAGAUCACAUGGUCCUAAUUUGAAAGACGGCCUUUGGCUGUCACUUAAGGAUGGACCCGCGGCGUAUUAGCUAGUUGGUGAGAUAAUAGCCCACCAAGGCGAUGAUACGUAGCCGACCUGAGAGGGUAAUCGGCCACAUUGGGACUGAGACACGGCCCAAACUCCUACGGGAGGCAGCAGUAGGGAAUCUUCCACAAUGGACGAAAGUCUGAUGGAGCAACGCCGCGUGAGUGAAGAAGGUUUUCGGAUCGUAAAACUCUGUUGUUGGAGAAGAACAGGGACUAGAGUAACUGUUAGUCCUUUGACGGUAUCCAACCAGAAAGCCACGGCUAACUACGUGCCAGCAGCCGCGGUAAUACGUAGGUGGCAAGCGUUGUCCGGAUUUAUUGGGCGUAAAGCGAGCGCAGGCGGUUUCUUAAGUCUGAUGUGAAAGCCUUCGGCUUAACCGAAGAAGUGCAUCAGAUACUGGGAAACUUGAGUGCAGAAGAGGAAAGUGGAACUCCAUGUGUAGCGGUGAAAUGCGUAGAUAUAUGGAAGAACACCAGUGGCGAAGGCGGCUUUCUGGUCUGUAACUGACGCUGAGGCUCGAAAGUAUGGGGAGCGAACAGGAUUAGAUACCCUGGUAGUCCAUACCGUAAACGAUGAAUGCUAAGUGUUGGAGGGUUUCCGCCCUUCAGUGCUGCAGCUAACGCAUUAAGCAUUCCGCCUGGGGAGUACGACCGCAAGGUUGAAACUCAAAGGAAUUGACGGGGGCCCGCACAAGCGGUGGAGCAUGUGGUUUAAUUCGAAGCUACGCGAAGAACCUUACCAGGUCUUGACAUCUAGCGCCAAUCCUAGAGAUAGGACGUUCCCUUCGGGGACGCUAAGACAGGUGGUGCAUGGUUGUCGUCAGCUCGUGUCGUGAGAUGUUGGGUUAAGUCCCGCAACGAGCGCAACCCUUAUGAUUAGUUGCCAGCAUUUAGUUGGGCACUCUAAUCAGACUGCCGGUGACAAAC